rnacentral:tRNA from 1 species
UCUUCAGUAGCUCAGUGGUAGAGCACAUGGCUGUUAACCAUGGGGUCGUUGGUUCGAAACCAACCUGAGGAG